GUGGGGAAUAUUGGACAAUGGGCGAAAGCCUGAUCCAGCCAUGCCGCGUGAGUGACGAAGGUCUUCGGAUUGUAAAGCUCUUUUGGCGGGGACGAUAAUGACGGUACCCGCAGAAUAAGCCCCGGCUAACUUCGUGCCAGCAGCCGCGGUAAUACGAAGGGGGCUAGCGUUGUUCGGAAUUACUGGGCGUAAAGCGCACGUAGGCGGACUUAUAAGUCAGGGGUGAAAUCCCGGGGCUCAACCUCGGAACUGCCUUUGAUACUGUAAGUCUCGAGACCGGAAGAGGUGAGUGGAAUUCCUAGUGUAGAGGUGAAAUUCGUAGAUAUUAGGAAGAACACCAGUGGCGAAGGCGGCUCACUGGUCCGGUUCUGACGCUGAGGUGCGAAAGCGUGGGGAGCAAACAGGAUUAGAUACCCCUGUAGUCC
rnacentral:rRNA from 1 species